GACGAACGCUGGCGGCGUGCUUAACACAUGCAAGUCGAACGGAAAGGCCCUGCUUUUGUGGGGUGCUCGAGUGGCGAACGGGUGAGUAACACGUGAGUAACCUGCCCUUGACUUUGGGAUAACUUCAGGAAACUGGGGCUAAUACCGGAUAGGAGCUCCUGCUGCAUGGUGGUGGUUGGAAAGUUUCGGCGGUUGGGGCUGGACUCGCGGCUUAUCAGCUUGUUGGUGGGGUAGUGGCUUACCAAGGCUUUGACGGGUAGCCGGCCUGAGAGGGUGACCGGCCACAUUGGGACUGAGAUACGGCCCAGACUCCUACGGGAGGCAGCAGUGGGGAAUAUUGCACAAUGGGCGGAAGCCUGAUGCAGCAACGCCGCGUGCGGGAUGACGGCCUUCGGGUUGUAAACCGCUUUCGCCUGUGACGAAGCGUGAGUGACGGUAAUGGGUAAAGAAGCACCGGCUAACUACGUG
rnacentral:rRNA from 1 species